GACGAACGCUGGCGGCGCGCUUAACACAUGCAAGUCGAGCGAUGAAAUCUUAACAGAACCCUUCGGGGCGAAGAUAAGACGGAUUAGCGGCGGACGGGUGAGUAACACGUGAGUAACCUGCCUUUUACACAGGGAUAGCCUCGGGAAACCGGGAUUAAAACCUGAUGAAACUAUCAAAUCACAUGAUUAAGAAAGUUAAAACUCCGGUGGUAAAAGAUGGACUCGCGUCCCAUUAGCUAGUUGGUGAAGGUAACGGCCCACCAAGGCAACGAUGGGUAGCCGGCCUGAGAGGGUGAACGGCCACAUUGGAACUGAGAAACGGUCCAAACUCCUACGGGAGGCAGCAGUGGGGAAUAUUGCACAAUGGGGGAAACCCUGAUGCAGCGACGCCGCGUGAGCGAAGAAGGCCUUCGGGUCGUAAAGCUCUUUUAUAUGGGAAGAU
rnacentral:rRNA from 1 species